GUACGCGUAGAUCAUCUGCCCCUAUCACAGACAUAACGUCGGGAAACUGACGCUAAUAUCUGAUGAGGCAAUUCAUUGUCAAAGGAGCGAUCCGGAUAGGGAUGAGUCUGCGUCUGAUUAGCUUGUUGGUAGUGUAACGGACUACCAAGGCGAUGAUCAGUAACUGGUCUGAGAGGACGAUCAGUCACACUGGAACUGAGACACGGUCCAGACUCCUACGGGAGGCUUUUAGUGAGGAAUAUUGGUCAAUGGGGGCAACCCUGAACCAGCGACGCCGCGUGAAGGAUGACAGGGCUUUGCCCCGUAAACUUCUGUCGGGAGGGAAAAAAGGACUGUUUGGCGGUCUGGGAUUGUACCUCUAAAGGAAGCACCGGCUAACUACGUGCCAGCAGCCGCGGUAAUACGUAGGGUGCAAACGUUGUCCGGAAUUACUGGGUGUAAAGGGUGCACAGGCGGUUUUGUGCGUCAGAAGUAAAAUCCCACA
rnacentral:rRNA from 1 species